ensembl:lncRNA
GGGAAAUGAUAUAUUAAAUAUAUAUAUAAUGUGGCAUGUUAUUAGUAUAUAAAAUCUUAAAGAANUUAUUAAAGAAUGCUAUUAUAUGACUCAAGGUGAUCUUAAAAACAGAGACAGACAUAUUUUAAUUUAACUGUGUUUAACUUUUAAAUAUGUGGAACCUUUAAUUGAUGUUUAACUUUUAAUAAUAAGGCUUGGUGCACACAUUCAAAAAAAAAAAAAAAAAAAUACACUGUCUCCAUGGGCUCUCUCUUCCAUACAUGGAUAGAAGAGUAACGCUGCAUGACUAUUGGCUGCGCAGCUGAAGUUCGCCUGCUGAUUGGCUGAGUAAUACUGUGAUAGAGCGAGACCAACGGCAGAUGUUCCAGAAUUCUCCUGAGAUUGAUCAUUGAGCUUUAUCUCCUGAGCAAUUCUUGAGGUUUGUUUGCAUUUUUUGGUUGUUGUACAUUUAAAGUUUAAGUUAUGUCUGACAUUUUAUUUUUGUUUUCAAAUUACAGCAUUACGAGCACUACUGACUCUCCACUGCAGAAUAUCCAACCAUCUAUUCAGAGCACAGCCUACAUUUUUAACUGCAGCUGAACGCCUGGUUAGUGUGCAAAAUGCCUUAAUGAUGCUUUGUCAUUUUCUUUUCAAUAUUAUUAUCAUUAUAGUUGCCUAAUAUGUCUUUCUUUUCCAGGUUUUGGAUUUUCUCCAAGCAGCAGUUUUUCUGAAUUGUUCUUCCCACCCCUCCCCCCAUAUACCCCACAGCCCCCCCCCUUUCCCCCCCCCCCCCCCAAAAAAAAAAAAAAAAAAAAAAAAGUUCUUUAUUUUCAAUACUAAGUUGAUCAUUUGUGUUCAAAUACUACUGUUCUUUUAAAAGUUCAGUCCUUUUAAUACUAGGUUAAUAAUUUGUUUAAUCUAUUGUUUUUUUUUUCUUUGGAAAAAAAAAGUUUUUCUAUUAAUAUUAAAUUCAUAAUUUGUUUUAUCUGCUACUGUUCUUUUUAUUUAAAAAAGUUUAUUAGCUGUAUUUAACUCAUUCUUUUUCUUGUCAAUUAACUAACUUGUUUUUUUCUUGAGAAUACUUUGCAGGUUGUAUCGCUCCAGCAUUUUGUGAAGUAAGUGACUGAAAAUAUCUUAUAAAAAAUGCUUAUUAAAUACAGUACUUUUUGACUUGCAUUAAAACCAUUUUACAGUCAUUUUUAAUCAGAGAUCUGUUCAAACUCAUAAUGAAGAAAAUGUGACAGUUGUUUGCUAAACACUUAUUUAAGAGACAAUGUGAAAUCAUCUGCUUAUUAUUAUAUUAAUAAAAAACAAUCAGAACAGAUGAUCA